rnacentral:rRNA from 1 species
GUCGAGAAUCUUUCACAAUGGGGGCAACCCUGAUGGAGCGACGCCGCGUGGAGGAUAAGGUCUUCGGAUUGUAAACUCCUGUCAUGCGUGAACAAGGUUGCUUGGUUAAUACCUGGGCAAAUUGAUGGUAACGCAAGAGGAAGAGACGGCUAACUCUGUGCCAGCAGCCGCGGUAAUACAGAGGUCUCAAGCGUUGUUCGGAAUCACUGGGCGUAAAGGGUGCGUAGGUGGCGUGGUAAGUCAGAUGUGAAAGCCCGGGGCUCAACCUCGGAACUGCAUCCGAUACUGCCAUGCUAGAGUACUGGAGAGGUGACUAGAAUUCUCAGUGUAGCAGUGAAAUGCGUAGAUAUCGAGAGGAAUACCAAAGGCGUAGGCAGGUCACUGGACAGUUACUGACACUGAGGCACGAAGGCCAGGGGAGCGAACGGGAUUAGAUACCCGAGUAGUCC